CUCUUCUUGUUUAAUAUUUGAAGUAUAACCUGCCCACUGAUUAUUUUAAAGGGCCGCGGUAUUUUGACCGUGCAAAGGUAGCAUAAUCAUUAGUCUUUUAAUUGGAGGCUGGAAUGAAUGGUUGGACGAGGAAUAUACUGUUUCUUAAUAAAAUGAUUUGAAUUUAAAAUUUAAGUAAAAAUACUUAAAUUUUUUUAUGGGACGAGAAGACCCUAUAGAGUUUAAUAAAUUUUAUUUAUUAUUUUGUUUGAUAAUAUAAAUUAAUUAUAAAAUUUAUUUUGUUGGGGUGAUGAAAAUGAUUUAAUAAACUCUUUUUUUUAUUUAUAUAUUUAUUUAUAAAUAUAUGAUCCAUUUUUUAUGAUUAUAAGACUAAAUUACCUUAGGGAUAACAGCGUAAUCUUUUUUGAGAGUUCUUAUCAAUAAAAGGGUUUGCGACCUCGAUGUUGGAUUAAGAUUUAAUUUGGGUGUAGCAUUUCAAUUGUUUAGGUCUGUUCGACCUUUAAAAUCUUACA
rnacentral:rRNA from 1 species